UGACCGUUCGUGGAAGUAACAAAAAGAACACACUUUGAUAUCAAAAAAAUAAAGAAAGAAAGAAAGAAAAACACACACACACAAGUCUUUCUUCAGCAAAAGGGAGAAGGAAAAGAAGAAAAAAAAGUCUUCCUUUUUCCCCAAAACAGUUUCUGCUGGUGAUUUGAUUAUUUGGAGGGGUUUUUUCCCCCACUGAUGUUCCGGAAUCGAGAUUUCGAUAUAUAUAACUGUUGUAGAUCAAAUGCCAUCUUUAAGAAUGAAGACGAAAUCAAGCACGGUUUCUUUAAGAGACAAAAAUAGUCUCCGUGUGUGUCAGAGGUCUAGCAUGAUUUGCAAAAGGCCAUGCUGUCAUGUCAGGGUUUCCCAGCAGGGAGCUGAAUUCAGCACAUGUAUUCAGAAUUCUCAUGAUGAUCCAUCAAAUGUAGAAGUAGCCUCCCCAAUUUUUAAAACUGAUGGAGCCAGUGCUCAGCAACUAAUUCUGGAUGAAGACGGUUCUGAGCUUCGGAAACAGCUUCCAGCUUUUGUUGAUUCUGCAACUUUGGGAGGAAUGGAAUCUGCCCAUACAUGUGGCUCAAACUUAGAGACAAUAUUCUCUCCUUAUCUGGAGCCAAUCCAAAUACACAGUGAGCUAAAUGUUGACAAUGAUGCAGGGAGUAAUAAUGGCCUUGAACUGCCAGAAUUUGGGGCUGAUGACAGUGAUGAUAACAAAAGCUUAUUUGGCAGUCAAACAUGUAAUGUGUCAGAUUUCUUUAUAUCUGACAUGAUAAUUGCGAGCAUACCCUUUGAUGGAAAUGCUGUUGACAGUAACUUCACAGGGACCUAUUCUUUUCCUGAUUUUAAGUGUUCUGAGCCAAGUAUGUUGUUUGAUGUGGCCGAGCAAUGCAUGAUACUGCCUUUCCUUGAGGACACUGUCAAAGCCAAUGAUACUAACGAUUUUCAUUUGCAUGAGGAAUCCAUGAUGGCCCAAGAUAAUACUGGUUUAUGUCUAGCAAUUGAUCAGAUGAGAUCCUGCCUGCAAGAAUCUGAUGUUAACUCUGACACUGAUCAAGCAGAUGACUUUGAUCCACAAGCAUUUAUAAAAAAUUUACCAGAGCUAUCUGAUGUUGUAUCAAGCUUUCGGCCUGCUAAUGUUCUGACAGAGGCUUGGAAAAGGAAGCCGAUAACUCUUGUGCUUGAUUUGGAUGAAACUCUCGUCCACUCUACACUAGAACAUUGUGAUGAUGCUGACUUCACCUUUACAGUAUUUUUCAACAUGAAAGAGCACACUGUGUAUGUAAAGCAGAGGCCUCACCUACAUACCUUUUUGGAGAAAGUUGCAGAGAUGUUUGAAGUUAUCAUCUUUACUGCCAGCCAAAGCAUUUACGCAGAACAAUUACUGGACAUAUUGGAUCCAGAUCGAAAGUUCAUAUCUCGGCGGGUUUAUCGUGAAUCAUGCAUUUUUUCAGAUGGAAAUUACACUAAAGACUUGACAGUUUUAGGUGUUGAUCUUGCAAAGGUUGCUAUUAUUGAUAAUUCUCCACAGGUUUUCAGGUUGCAAGUGAAUAACGGGAUUCCUAUUAAGAGUUGGUUUGAUGAUCCAUCCGAUUGUGCACUAAUUUCGUUACUUCCCUUCUUAGAGACUUUGGUUGAUGUUGAUGAUGUCCGUCCUAUCAUUGCCAAGAAAUUUGGUGGAUACAUGGCAUGAUGGUUAAUGAGGAUGGUGCAUAUCACCUUUUACGAAGGUCCGUUUAUCUAACCUGUCAGCUGCUUGGCCGCAUCUGCAUGCAUUAAGGACCAGAAGAUGACAUUAGGAACUCAAAACUCCUAGACUGCUUUCUUUGAAUACAGUAAAUAGAAAAAUGGUACCCCUUGCCAUUGGAGAGGCAACAUGAGUGUUAAAGCUUAUAUUAGCUGAUAAUAAUGUUUCCUUUAAGAAAGUUGGUGAAUUUCAGUAGGAUUUUUUCUUGUAUAUUUUCACCUUCAUACCUAGGCUUAGGUCUAAAUCAAGUACACCGAACUCAGUUAUUUUUAUCUUCCUUCAAAGCCUCAGAAGUGAUUUGAAACAGUUUGCUCAGAUUAGUCAUUGUCCAAAUAGCUUCUCUUUCUCUUUUUCCCCGGAUGCACAGACACACUUAUAUUUUAGUUAGGUUCAUAGUGCUAACGCUAGGGAAGUGGAAAUAGAACAUUGUUAACAACAGCUGCCUGAAGGUUACUUAAGAGUUUAGUUAGUCAUAAAGUCACUUAAGUUUUUGAUUCACUAAAAAUUUUAUAGGAGAAGAGACAAACAUAGAAGUCUUUUCUGAUUAGGCAGAUAUUCUCUAACUGAUUGUAUAUGUACUUGCGGAUGCUUAUGUUUAAUUCAUGAUUUUAAUUCAUUGAUUUCAUUGUUGUGCUUAACUGCCAAACUAUCUCCUUGUAUUAUCUUUCUAAAGUGCAUCCUUUUGGAAUUGAUGACAUAUUUAAGAAGUGAUUGAGGUAUUUCAGGUAAGAUGGUGAUAUUGCCCUAGGGCCUUGGGGGUAAACUAUGUUGUUUCUGGGAAAGAUUUAGAUUUAAUGAUACUUAUGAUUCGAGAAUAUAGUGAUUAUGUUAAACAAUUAGUUUAAUUUACUCAGUUGCUACACCUGGACAUUUGCCAUAAAAAAGAGGUCCAGUUGGGGUGUUUACUAGGAUCUUGACACAAAGACUUUAAGAUAGGAAUGGAUUCGAAGAUGGAAAACAGUGACAUGAUCUGGGGUUCUACAGUGCAAGGAGCUACCUCCUGGUCAAGGUGGUUUUGGUUAAAUUAUAAGAAGAUUAUGGAGUUGAGGUCAUAUUGCCAUCAGCAAAAUUGGAGAGUUAAAGAGAAGAGGCUUAUAAGAGUUGUAGCUACACUGCUUGUCAUAACAUCUGUUGAAUGCUUUGAGUUUGAUCAUCUUAACAGUUUUACAGUUUUGCAUGCCUUACGUGCAGGUCUUAUGAUGAACAUUACUAGAUUAUCCGCUAAUGGCAAAAUAAUAGGCAUGUAUUUAGUACAUAGAAGCACUGAAGAAGAUGAGAUCCACCAGUUAACACAGAAAUGAUGACUAUAUGAGUAAGAUAGUAGUAGUUGAAUCCCUCAAAAAACUAGUUAAAAAAUCAGAUUAUGUCAAUAAAUAUGUAUAUUCUUCAAGAUUUUAUUCAUAAUUACUGGCAUUUAAAUUUGUAAUUAUAGCUAAUAAUAAUUUAGUUUCAACUUUGUUUUUGGUA